UUAUAGCUUGUUUAUUAUUUAAUUAUUUUAUAAUUAACUAGAUAUUGUAUGUUAUACGCAUUAGACAUGGAUAGUACAGGACGCGAGGAAGUUUUAGCUUCAGAGAAUAUAGACAGGCUAUCAGAAACUUUAAUGAAUUUAAUGGUCAGUUUGGUUCUAGAGGAGGAUGCAAGCGUUGGCGCGAAGGACGCGUCACAUCCGGUGGAAACGGAAGGCAGCGCGCACGCUCCACCGGACGUAGCCACCGUGAGGCCACACUUGCAAUGUAGUGACGGCGAAAAAGUUAUAUUGAAGACUUGUAUCGAUUUAAUCCAGCAAUAUAUUCAACUCGUGGAAAAGUCUCACAGCCACUGAUUUUAACUCAUUUGUUUUUCUUAAGUUAUGAAAAUAUAGUUGAAUUCAAAUUG